rnacentral:rRNA from 1 species
GAUGAACGCUGGCGGCGUGCCUAACACAUGCAAGUCGAGCGAAGCGAUUUAGCGGAAGUUUUCGGAUGGAAGUUAAAUUGACUGAGCGGCGGACGGGUGAGUAACGCGUGGGUAACCUGCCUCAUACAGGGGGAUAACAGUUAGAAAUGACUGCUAAUACCGCAUAAGCGCACAGCAUCGCAUGAUGCAGUGGUAAAAACUCCGGUGGUAUGAGAUGGAUCCGCGUCUGAUUAGCUAGUUGGUAAGGUAAUGGCUUACCAAGGCAACGAUCAGUAGCCGACCUGAGAGGGUGACCGGCCACAUCGGGACUGAGACACGGCCCAA